CACCAUACUAUUUCAUGGUUGAUUACUGCAAUGCGCUUACAUUAACCGAGCACCGAUACCUUUGUUUUGAAAUUUUUCGGCCACCGUUCGUCACCGUAAGGUUGUCGUAUAUGAUUCGGGUGAGACAUUAUAAAUUUUGUCAAGUUGCGAGCUAAGCUUUUAAGGUAAUCUGGGAUAAUCUGGGGUUUCAGUGUGGAGCGUUUGAAAGUUGCUGAUCAAGAUUCCUUAUUUC